UACUUGGAGGUAUAAAUACAGCCUGAAUUGCUUAUUCAUAUCAUUGAUUAGUGCUUCAAUUAUUCUCAAAAAAUGCUUCAUCUACGUUACUUCUACCUCAUUAUUGCUGCCUUGUUCAUGAUUUCAGGCCUUCCAACAUUGGAAGCAAAGAAUAAAGGACCUUGGUGUUACAAUAAAUACUGUAGUAAAGGCCAAAGCUGUGUAAAUCGUAAAUGCAAAUACUAACUGAAGACAGUAGAAUUUUGUUGAUUUCUCAAUAAAAUAAAAAUUCAACAUUAA